GACGAACGCUGGCGGCGUGCUUAACACAUGCAAGUCGAACGGAAAGGCCCUGCUUUUGUGGGGUGCUCGAGUGGCGAACGGGGGAGUAACACGUGAGUAACCUGCCCUUGACUGUGGGAUAACUUCAGGAAACUGGGGCUAAUACCGGAUAGGAGCUCCUGCUGCAUGGGGGGGGUUGGAAAGUUUCGGCGGUUGGGGAUGGACUCGCGGCUUAUCAGCUUGUUGGUGGGGUAGUGGCUUACCAAGGCUUUGACGGGUAGCCGGCCUGAGAGGGUGACCGGCCACAUUGGGACUGCGAUACGGCCCAGACUCCUACGGGAGGCAGCAGUGGGGAAUAUUGCACAAUGGGCCGAAGCCUGAUGCAGCAACGCCGCGUGCGGGAUGACGGCCUUCGGGUUGUAAACCGAUUUCGCCUGUGACGAAGCGUGAGUGACGGUAAUGGGUAAAGAAGCACCGGCUAACUACGUG
rnacentral:rRNA from 1 species